UACGAAGGGUGCAAGCGUUAAUCGGAAUUACUGGGCGUAAAGGGUGCGUAGGCGGUUCGUUAAGCCUGUCGUGAAAUCCCCGGGCUCAACCUGGGAAUGGCGAUGGAUACUGGCGAGCUAGAGUGUGUCAGAGGAUGGUGGAAUUCCCGGUGUAGCGGUGAAAUGCGUAGAGAUCGGGAGGAACAUCAGUGGCGAAGGCGGCCAUCUGGACAACACUGACGCUGAAGCACGAAAGCGUGGGGAGCAAACAGG
rnacentral:rRNA from 1 species